rnacentral:sRNA from 1 species
GACUCGCUCCGGCUCCCCUCGCCGUCCUGGACACGGCGGAGUGCGGAGCCGCCCGUAAGAUGCUCUGACCUUUGACCCCUGCCGUUCAGCUCUAGGGCCCGUGCAGGCCACACCAUGAACACCUCCCCAGGCACGGUGGGCAGUGACCCGGUCAUCCUGGCCACUGCAGGCUACGACCACACCGUGCGCUUCUGGCAGGCCCACAGCGGCAUCUGCACCCGGACGGUGCAGCACCAGGACUCCCAGGUGAAUGCCUUGGAGAUCACACCGGACCGCAGCAUGAUUGCUGCUGCAGGUAUCUGUGACCCUUGAUCUCUAAACUCCUGAGCUCUGGUGGGUCGACCUGAGCACAGCCAAGCUUCAGUUCAGCCUGUGUCCCUAGGUUACCAGCACAUCCGCAUGUAUGAUCUCAACUCCAAUAACCCUAACCCCAUCAUCAGCUACGACGGCGUCAACAAGAACAUCGCGUCUGUGGGCUUCCACGAAGACGGCCGCUGGAUGUACACGGGCGGCGAGGACUGCACAGCCAGGAUCUGGGACCUCAGGUCCCGGAACCUGCAGUGCCAGCGGAUCUUCCAGGUGAACGCACCCAUUAACUGCGUGUGCCUGCACCCCAACCAGGCAGAGCUCAUCGUGGGUGACCAGAGCGGGGCUAUCCACAUCUGGGACUUGAAAACAGACCACAACGAGCAGCUGAUCCCUGAGCCCGAGGUCUCCAUCACGUCCGCCCACAUCGAUCCCGACGCCAGCUACAUGGCAGCUGUCAAUAGCACUGGAAACUGCUAUGUCUGGAAUCUGACGGGGGGCAUUGGUGACGAGGUGACCCAGCUCAUCCCCAAGACCAAGAUCCCUGCCCACACGCGCUACGCCCUGCAGUGUCGCUUCAGCCCCGACUCCACGCUCCUCGCCACCUGCUCGGCUGAUCAGACGUGCAAGAUCUGGAGGACGUCCAACUUCUCCCUGAUGACGGAGCUGAGCAUCAAGAGCGGCAACCCCGGGGAGUCCUCCCGCGGCUGGAUGUGGGGCUGCGCCUUCUCGGGGGACUCCCAGUACAUCGUCACUGCUUCCUCGGACAACCUGGCCCGGCUCUGGUGUGUGGAGACUGGAGAGAUCAAGAGAGAGUAUGGCGGCCACCAGAAGGCUGUUGUCUGCCUGGCCUUCAAUGACAGUGUGCUGGGCUAGCCUGUGACCCCUCGGGACUGCCUGGUGCAGGUGGUGGCAGCUGGAGGGACCCAUGCAGCACCCAGGUCAGAGCAGACCCUCCCCUGCCGGCCUGCGCCAGCUGGACCUGAUGGCCCCCUGUGGUGCCUUGACCUGCUGGGCCAGGCUGCCCUGGGACUCUCAGCCCCCAGUUGCUUAUCCAGAUGUGACAGAGCUCGACCCAAGCCAGGCUGCACACUCCU